AUCUGGGCGCGUGAGUAAGCCGCGAGGGAUCUGGGCGCGUGAGUAAGCCGCGAGGGAUCUGGGCGCGUGAGUAAGCCGCGAGGGAUCUGGGCGCGUGAGUAAGCCGCGAGGGAUCUGGGCGCGUGAGUAAGCCGCGAGGGAUCUGGGCGCGUGAGUAAGCCGCGAGGGAUCUGGGCGCGUGAGUAAGCCGCGAGGGAUCUGGGCGCCUCUGUGUCUCCCUGUGAAUGCAGACUGCGCGUAACCGCCCUUUUGCUUGACAUUGGCCAUUAAUCAUUAACAGUUGGCCAAAGGAAGAGAUGUGUUCGUGUGUGUCCAUCGUUGCCUGCAGAGUUGAUAAUAGCAGAGGCAGCAGAAAACCGAAUGACCUGGAGCAGUACACGCUGGCAUUGGAUCCGCAGAAAAGGGGCCGAAUCGUGCCGAAUGCGACUGAAACCUUUUCCCUGGUGCUUUAAAUAGUAGCUAGCUCUUCUCUGGUACCGCCGCAACCCCACCCACCUCAGACAGGACAAUACUGUCCGCAAGGUUUAUUUACGCUGUUCCAAGACAUUUCCGGGAGUUGUUGACGUUCGUGGGUUUCCUCCUUCCCUGUGUGCGCUUGCGCCGUCUUUGGGACCUAAACCAGUUCAGUUUGGAAGGGGGACUGAACAAAACAGAGGGUCUGCGGCUGAAGAGGACUGGUUAGAAAACUCACACCCGGGGGAGGUUUUAGCUCGAGUUGUUCCGAGACAAAGGGCGAGACAGGCCCGCCUGGCAGUUUGCCUGAGGUUGAGGGUGUUUGUCUGAGCCGCGUAUGCGCUUCCCCGCAGUGAUUUCAGAGUCAACAGAAUCCCAAGGCAAUAAAGAUUAAGAUACUGUACUGGUGGCUGUAAAAUUGAGGUGCUUGUUGACCAGAUUAAACAUUACGGAGCUCCAAGGAUUCAGGCCGAUCGGAAUUUUUCAUCACCGCCCACAACUGAACCACCUCCCGGUUUCUUUUGUU